rnacentral:rRNA from 1 species
AGUGAACGCUGGCGGUAGGCCUAACACAUGCAAGUCGAACGGCAGCACAGUAAGAGCUUGCUCUUACGGGUGGCGAGUGGCGGACGGGUGAGGAAUACAUCGGAAUCUACUUUUUCGUGGGGGAUAACGUAGGGAAACUUACGCUAAUACCGCAUACGACCUACGGGUGAAAGCAGGGGAUCUUCGGACCUUGCGCGAUUGAAUGAGCCGAUGUCGGAUUAGCUAGUUGGCGGGGUAAAGGCCCACCAAGGCGACGAUCCGUAGCUGGUCUGAGAGGAUGAUCAGCGACACUGGAACAGAGACACGGUCCAGACUCCUACGGGAGGCAGCAGUAGGGAAUAUUGGACAAUGGGCGCAAGCCUGAUCCAGCCAUACCGCGUGGGUGAAGAAGGCCUUCGGGUUGUAAAGCCCUUUUGUUGGGAAAGAAAAGCAGCAGGUUAAUACCCCGCUGUUCUGACGGUACCCAAAGAAUAAGCACCGGCUAACUUCGUG